GAACUGGAAAAAUCUGAAAGGAAGGUCAUCCAUGGCGGAACCAAGCUUGGGAUCAUUAUGUACGAGUCCCUUUGUGUUUCCCAUAUCUCAAUGAUUGGGUCUUAUUUCUCAAAUCAAAGUGCCAUUGGUUGCUGGCAGUUACAGUUUGUGCGAUGAAAAAAUGUGGUUCUCAAAGUUUCAACGCAAAUAAUGGUUGUUCAAGAUUGCUCGAUAUAGGUCACUGUCAAAACAUAUCACUGGAGUGAGGCGAUAGUGAUUGUUGAUGGUGGUUAUCUACAGAAGAUGAUGGUUGGAGUGAAAUUGCUAUAGAGGAUUGUGAAUGUUGGCCUGGAAGUGGAGUUUGUGGGAAAAUUUGAUGAAUGGAGAAAAUUGGAGAACGUCGAGUCCCAUUAUCAAAUUCACAUACUUCAAUAGUGAACACUGUUGACUUUGUUAUAAUUCAAUUAUUUAAGAUCGACGUUGUGAUAUCGGUGACUUAAGCACCAAGUUGAAUAUCAAAUCCAACUCAAUUCAAUAUCUAUGUAAGUAUGUAUAAUUAUAUAAUAAUCCAAACUUUUAUGAAUAAUAUAGGAAGCUACUACUUUUAUAAA